UACGGGAGGCAGCAGUGGGGAAUAUUGGACAAUGGGCGCAAGCCUGAUCCAGCCAUGCCGCGUGAGUGAAGAAGGCCCUAGGGUUGUAAAGCUCUUUCAAAGGUGAAGAUAAUGGCGGUAACCGUAGAAGAAGCCCCGACUAACUUCGUGSCAGCAGCCGCGGUAAUACGAAGGGGGCUAGCGUUGUUCGGAUUUACUGGGCGUAAAGCGCACGUAGGCGGAUCGUUAAGUGAGGGGUGAAAUCCCAGGGCUCAACCCUGGAACUGCCUCUCAUACUGGCGAUCUUGAGUUCGAGAGAGGUGAGUGGAAUUCCGAGUGUAGAGGUGAAAUUCGUAGAU
rnacentral:rRNA from 1 species